AGGACGAACGCUGGCGGCGUGCUUAACACAUGCAAGUCGAGCGGUAAGGCCCUUCGGGGUACACGAGCGGCGAACGGGUGAGUAACACGUGGGUGAUCUUCCUCGCACUCUGGGAUAAGCCUGGGAAACUGGGUCUAAUACCGGAUAUGACCUUACAUCGCAUGGUGUUUGGUGGAAAGAUUUAUCGGUGCGAGAUGGGCCCGCGGCCUAUCAGCUUGUUGGUGGGGUAAUGGCCUACCAAGGCGACGACGGGUAGCCGGCCUGAGAGGGCGACCGGCCACACUGGGACUGAGACACGGCCCAGACUCCUACGAGAGGCAGCAGUGGGGAAUAUUGCACAAUGGGCGAAAGCCUGAUGCAGCGACGCCGCGUGAGGGAUGACGGCCUUCGGGUUGUAAACCUCUUUCGACAGGGACGAAGCGCAAGUGACGGUACCUGUAGAAGAAGCACCGGCCAACUACGUGCCAGCAGCCGCGGUAAUACGUAGGGUGCGAGCGUUGUCCGGAAUUACUGGGCGUAAAGAGCUUGUAGGCGGCUUGUCGCGUCGAUCGUGAAAACUUGGGGCUCAACCCCAAGCUUGCGGUCGAUACGGGCAGGCUUGAGUACUUCCGGGGAGACUGGAAUUCCUGGUGUAGCGGUGAAAUGCACAAAUAUCAGGAGGAACCCCGGUGGCAAAGGGGGUC
rnacentral:rRNA from 1 species